rnacentral:ncRNA from 2 species
GUAAAUAUGAUACAAACAGGUGUCGAAGUACUUAAUAGGGAAGUUCGGUGAAAGACCGACACAGCCCCCGCUACUGUGAGUGAGGAUGAAAUUGGCACAAUGCCACUUGGGAUACAAGGAAGGCGCCGAAAGUAAGUAGAUUCACGAGUCAGGAGACCUGCCUGUUGUGAUCUGCUGUA